rnacentral:lncRNA from 1 species
AGUCAGUAUAGUGUUUACUGUAAACUCUGUUGAAGUGAAUUUUCUGUUGAUAUUUAGUCAGGUAAUCGAAGCAAGUAGAUUAAAUAAAAAUGCCAUCAACAGAAAUAACGAGCGUGGGAGUUUUUUUGUCAACAGAUGACGCUACUUUCCACUCACUCCCACAUGCUGUCCACCUCUGCGUAGGGGUCACCCGGAUGGUGGAGUACAAAGAUCGACGAGCCGGGUCCGAACCCCAUGAUAAAUAUUUUCAAGAAGUGGAACCGAGAUUCGAACCCGGAUCCCCAGAGUGGAGAGCCGAAGCG